rnacentral:rRNA from 1 species
UAGUAGCGGCGAGCGAAGCGGGAAGAGCUCAAAUUUAUAAUCUGGCACCUUCGGUGUCCGAGUUGUAAUCUCUAGAAGUGUUUUCCGCGUUGGACCGCACACAAGUCUGUUGGAAUACAGCGGCAUAGUGGUGAAACCCCCGUAUAUGGUGCGGACGCCCAGCGCUUUGUGAUACACUUUCAAUGAGUCGAGUUGUUUGGGAAUGCAGCUCAAAUUGGGUGGUAAAUUCCAUCUAAAGCUAAAUAUUGGCGAGAGACCGAUAGCGAACAAGUACCGUGAGGGAAAGAUGAAAAGCACUUUGGAAAGAGAGUUAACAGUACGUGAAAUUGUUGGAAGGGAAACGCUUGAAGUCAGACUUGCUUGCCGGAGCUUGCUUCGGUUUGCAGGCCAGCAUCAGUUUUCCGGGGUGGAUAAUGACGGUUUGAAGGUAGCAGUCUCGGCUGUGUUAUAGCUUUCCGUUGGAUACAUCCUGGGGGACUGAGGAACGCAGCGUGCUUUUUGCGAAAGACUCGUCUUUUUCACGCUUAGGAUGC